UACGAAGGGGGCUAGCGUUGCUCGGAAUCACUGGGCGUAAAGCGCACGUAGGCGGAUGGCUAAGUCAGGGGUGAAAUCCUGGAGCUCAACUCCAGAACUGCCCUUGAUACUGGCGACCUCGAGUCCGGGAGAGGUGAGUGGAACUGCGAGUGUAGAGGUGAAAUUCGUAGAUAUUCGCAAGAACACCAGUGGCGAAGGCGGCUCACUGGCCCGGUACUGACGCUGAGGUGCGAAAGCGUGGGGAGCAAACAGG
rnacentral:rRNA from 1 species